GCAUAGUAGUAUUGCAUUUCAUAUAUGCUUUCAAUUCAACAGCUUAUUAUUGUCUAUUACUAUCGUUACUUACCCCUUUUCUUUGGGCCUAGUGGUGCAUUGUGCUCAGGUCAGUAAUUGCCCACUGGGAACUAUAAAUUAUAGUUCUCACACCCUCUGUUUUAUGUUCUUAUUAUAAAGCCUUCCACUCCUGGCGAGGCUAGGGACCGCGGAAAGGGUAUCGCCACGAGCUAGCUUGUGAGCGAGGGACGUUCGAUAGGUGGUCUACCUCUUCUUUGUUUUUUUUUUGGGAGAGGAUGAGAGUUGUACCUUGUAUAGAGACCACCCUUUUUGUAGUACUUUUGUGAUAAUUCUUGUACUUACUUUAUCUUUAUGUCUAGUAGUUUACUUUCCCCUUUCUCUGCUUGUUGUUAGUUGUUAGCUGUUAGUAGCUCUGAUAUCUCUAGUGACUUUAUUUCUUCUUGCUUCCAUAUCUCUUUUGUUGUAGACGCCUUAUAUGUGCAGGCAUAUGGCGGGUCUGGGCACGCACCGGGCGGGCCUAUGCCGGGUCCCGGGGCGUGACAGAUUAAUUUGGUAUCAGAGCCUAGGGUUGAGUCUUAGGGGACCUAGCAAACCUUAGGCCGGUCGGAUUAUAGGAAAUAGGCUCGUGAGAGACAAGGUCUAUUUGAUUUGUAGGCGAAAGUAUCUUGAUUGGGUAUCUUGACAACUCCGAAAGGUUGGAGUUUGACUGAAGUAUAUGGCUUCUAACUUCGCGGAGGGUUACGUUGGCGGCCGACAACGUAUCAUCGGGAGUUAGUAGUGAAGGACACUUCCUUACUUUCGCAUGAUUUGGGGUUCGGUUA
rnacentral:lncRNA from 1 species